rnacentral:rRNA from 1 species
CAUAUGGUGCAGAAGGAUAAAUAAAUCAUGUUAGUAGUAAAUCAAGGAAAUGAAAUGGAACAUCGGGCGUUGGACCGCCUGAAGAAUUCCAAGAAAAAUGCCAAGCAUGUGUGUGAAUGGGAUGCCUCGAGAGGUCUUGAAACGAAAUGGCAAACGGUGCCAAGCUAACGCGUGAAACACUCUGCCUGGGGAGUACGGUCGCAAGACUGAAACUCAAAGGAAUUGUCGGGGGCCUGCCCAAGCGGUGGAGCAUGUGAUUUAAUUCGAUACAACGUGCAAAACCUUACUAGACCUUAACAUAUGAACAACAAAAUCUGUCCUUUACAGGAUGGUACUGACUUUCAUACAGGUGCUGCAUGGCUGUCAUCAGCUCGUGUCGUCAGAUGUUUUGUCAAGUCCUAUAACGAACGAAACCCUCAUUUUGUGUUGCUGAGACAUGCGCCUAAGGAGAAAUUGCCACCGACUGACGUGCCAGCGCUACUACUUGAUUGAGUGCCAGCACAUAGUUGUGCUUUCAGCAAGAAUUUCACCAUUGGGAGCCGAUGCCUUUCGAAGCACUUUCACGUGUGAACCGAAGUCAUUUUGCCCAAGACCAACGGAGACCUACCUAUAGUGACGUCAAAGUACCAGUGAGCAUGGAGGUUUGGUUGAAAUUGGUUACGAUGAUAUCGAGUUGGCGGCGGAGGAAGACUCGGCAUGAAGGAUAGAAAAUGGUGUGGAACGUAGUGGUAAUAUUACGCGCCCCGCUCCGAAAUAAAGAAAAAGGUGCGUGCCGCACUCACGAGGGACUGCCAGUGAGAUACUGGAGGAAGGUGGGGACGACGUGAAGUCCGCAUGGCCCUUAUGUGCUAGGACACACACGUGCUACAAUGGCAAUGACAAUGGGAAGCAAGGCUGUAAGGCGGAGCGAAUCCGGAAAGAUUGCCUCAGUUCAGAUUGUUCUCUACAACUCGGGAACAUGAAGUUGAAAUCGCUAGUAAUCGUGGAUCAGCAUGCCGUGGUGAAUAUGUACCCAGGCCCUGUACACACCGCCCGUCACACCCUGGGAAUUGGUUUCGCCCGAAGCAUCGGACCAAUGAUCACCCAUGACUUCUGUGUACCACUAGUGCCACAAAGGCCUUUGGUGGUCUUAUUGGCGCAUACCAUGGUGGGGUCUUCGACUGGGGUGAAGUCGUAACAAGGUAGCCGUAGGGGAACCUGUGGCUG